UUAUGCCUAUGAUUUAGGAAGUAGAAAUGUAACAUUUUGAUCGAGAGUCAGUUUUGCCAAAACGAGACGAAUGCUCUGAACACCAUCAACAGUGCUAUCAGAGAUGAUUAAAGCGGACAGCGGAGUAAUCGAGGAUCUGUAUGUUACCAUGCUAACUUAACCUGUCCUGGGCUAGUUUUACUUGAGUGGAGAAAUUCUUCUGUGUUAAUUCACUCUACCGCUGAUAAUGUAGUCGGACUUGAAACCCGUUUGUAAUUGCUGUUAGGUCCCGUUAUCUCUAUGAAAGGAAAGUAUUUUCUGUCUGAUCUAUUCAACACAAUUUAGGGCCGUUUGUGGUAACGUAGGAAGUUAGGAACCUGAUUGCAACACGCAUGAUUUCGUGGACCUGCUUAGAACGUUCACAAAGGUAGCGCGAAAAUUUGAAUUUUUUUCGCGGCUAGAUCUACCCGUCCCGAAGAGUCCUUUGUAACCAUGGAUAUCUCUCCACCGUCCUGCUAGAUACACUAGACUAGAGUAGACAAGCAGCGCGCUGUUAUCCACUUCAUUUUUGUUGUAGCAUUUUGGUAGCAACAACUUGUACUUGUUGCCAACAGGACUAUUUUAAAUACCAGAAUCGCUAUUAGGCCCACUCUCCAUUUAUUGUUUAUGGUUCAUAGCAAGCAGUCAUCAUUACCAGACGUGGAGAACCUGUUGACCAGUUGUGCAGCAUGUUAAUAGUGUUAUUGUUGUUGUUGUUAUUAUUAUUAUUAUUAUUAUGAAUAAUAAUGAUAGUAAUAUCUAUCUAUUUAUUGACUGUCAUUUGGCACAGAGUAGUAACAGAGUGGUCAACAUUGUCGAGGCUCAGAUGCCCAGGUUAUGCAAUAUGUUGGUAUUUUAAAGUGAAAGGUAGGGGAAACUAGUUGUGUGUUUAUGUGAUUGUAUUGUAGCGCCGAAGCUAUGUACCCCCUUGUUGGACUGUCCCCUGGUUUCCUGGUCUGUGUGUGUGUCUCCCUCUUCCUCCUGUGUUAUAGACUGUGUCAAUAAGUUCUGAUGGGUUUGUGUUUAAUGAUUAUUUUUGGAAAUUGGUUAUGUAAGAAGUGACACUUCCAGCGUGUUUUUACUAGACGCUGCUUUUGAGGUCUGGGAUUCCUGUCAUUUUUCUGUGUAACUGUUGCUUUUUCUAAAGCCUUUGCUCAUUUGUCUUCUCAGCACAUCAACUCUUAAGUGUGUCCCUGGAAGAUCUACCAUCAACUUCCAGAACUGCAACUGCUAGUACUGUCAGAUGGUGAAUGCUACUCAGGCAAACACCAUUGUUACACCACUUUGAAGGAGAGCCUGGUCAUUUGGUCCCCUCAGCUUCUCCCUUUCUCAGUGAUAUGUUCAUUGUGGCUGGGAGAAUUGUGGGGCACUCUUUCCUUCAUGGAGGACCCUGCUUGUCUGGACUCUGUGAUGUGGUUGUCCAUACUGCUUCGUGGGAGCCCAGACACGGCUACAGUAAACCUGGAGGACUGUGCAGACCUGGACAUUAGAGAAACAAUCAGGCUUGUGGAAUCAAACCUAUCAGCUGAAGAAAUGGGAAGGGUACAGAACGUGGCCUCUUCCUGGGACCUCCCUCCGCUAACCACAACCAACAGGGCCCUUAAUGCUCUGCGGUGAAAAAUGGAGCAACAAGCCUGACCGUGACAUCGGGAGAGCUGAGGCAGAUCAUCUUAAACAUGAUGCACCUGGACGGUCCGGUGGCGGAGACUUCAAGAAUUAAAUAAAAUUACAA